GUGAAUUAUUAAUUUACUUUGUUUUCCCAUGGCCAACUCACCUGUUCUAAGCCACAGCCACCUGGCACCUUCAAUUUGAAAUGUAUAAGGCAUAAGCUAUACGUUCCUCAUGGAAAGAGUAAAAGUUAUUUUAUAGCCAUACCAAGAUUGGAUUUCGGGUGUACUAUUUAUAAGCUGUGUAAUAACGUUGGACAAAUUACUUAACCUCUGUGAAACUCAGUUUUCUCUUUUAUUUUAUUUUACUUUAUUUUAUUUUUUUUAGACGAGUCUCGCUCUGUCACCCAGGCUGGAGUGCAGUGGCGUGAUCUCGGCUCACUGCAACCUCUGCCUCCCGGGUUCAAGCAAUUCUCUGCCUCAGCCUCCCGAGUGGCUGGGAUUACAGGCGCCCGCCACCACGCCCAGCUAUUUUUUUUGUAUUUUUAGUAGAGACGGGGUUUCAGCAUCUUGGCCAGGCUGGUCUUGAACUCUUGACCUGGUGAUCCACCCGCCUCAGCCUCCCAAAGUGCUGGGAUUACAGGCGUGAGUCACCGCGCCCGGCCGAGUUUUCUCUUUUAUUAAAAAAAGAAAAUCAACAACAAAGUUUUGCAGGAUUGUAGUGAGUGAAUAUAAAGUAUGUGAUUCGGUAUCCGGAACAUAAAAGUUCUCAGGAAAUCACGAUUAAUAAUAAACAGUAACAAAUAAUGAUCCGUCCAAACCAAGAGAAGAUAAUCUCCUUUGGCUGUAAGAAAAUAUGACUUAAACAGCUCUUUCCUUCAAGUCCUCCUUCCCACUUUAACAGGCCACACUGUACUGAGCAUCUAGAAGGCUCUCUGCCAACAGCAGCGCCGGUUUGUUAUCUAAGUGAGUCUUGGUCAUUAAGCAAAGUCAGGGUCUUUGUUAUUGGUUUCAUCCCCACUGGCCUUGCAGAGAAAGCCCAAGCCACAGGGUACAUCUCUGCCUGCCAAUGCCCUGUAUUCCUGAAACAAAAAGGCAAUAAAAAACACGACAGUUAGUGUCAGACACGGAGCCCGGGCUUGGGAGCGGGCGGGGAGGGCUCCCUUUUCUCCUUGUUCCGCAGCACCUGUCACGGAGACGGGAGAUGGGGGCCUGGCCCGGGAUGGGCAGCCCUGCUUCCUCCUGCCCCCGCCGCGCUCCCUCCCGAGCUGCUCCGGCCCCGGCUCCCAGCAACGCGGCGGCGGCCCGCUCUGCGACUAGAAAGCGCCCAUUGAGGGCUUGCAGCUGCCAGUGCCGCUUGCCCAAAUCCGACAUAAAGCCUCGACUUCAGCUCCAGUGAAGAAGACACUACUGUGUUCUUCCUGAGCCCCAGUCAUGGCUAUAAAACAUUAAAAGCAAACUGGCGAUUGUUAAACACUGCAUUUGUUUACACCCCGAAUCUUGAAUCACAAUGGGGCAGCUUGGGCUGCCCAGGCCCGGCGAGGCCGGGCUUUCUCCUAGACACUGAAGUCUGUUCUCCGACCCAAGGGACACAAGAAAAGCUGGAGUAAAGUGGCAUGAUCUCGGCUCACUGCAGCCUCCGCCCCCGCCAGGUUCAAGUGAUUCUCCUGCCUCAGCCUCCCGAGUAGCUGGGAUUACAGGCGCAGGCCACCAUGCCCAGUCAGAGAGAUCAAGGAAGGCUUCCCUAAGGAAGUGGUGCAGAGCUGAGAUCGGAAGAAGCAGGGAUGUUCUCCACAGAAAGAACAUGCUCAGAAGCCCAGUCAGCAGCAGGAAGGAGUGUGGUGAUUUUGAGGAACCGAAAGAAGACCAGCAUGGCUGGAGAACAGAGGAUGGGGGUGUGAUAUGUGACGAGCGAAGAGAAGUCACCCGUACUUCAUUUACCAGUCCUUGCUAAGGAUUAUUCAUUAAAACACACAACAGCAACAAUAACCACAAAAGCAACAAUAAAAAUACCUUUGAACUCACUCAAUCUUGAACUAUUGAACAUGCUAAGUCCGUGUCAUUGGCCUACUUAAUCAGCCCUCGAUUGUAACUUGAAGAAGCUUAUUGAUAAGAAAAUAAACUUCUCAUAAAGUAUAACUACUUUCUUAGCAAAACUAUUUGUUUCAUCUUCUCUUUAAAAUUUUUGAUAUUAUGUAUUUCCUUUUUUUUUUUUUUUUUU
rnacentral:lncRNA from 1 species